GUGCGUGCAAGCUGUACACUACGCAAGCCAGCAGCGUUCAGUACCAGCCCAAAAACAAAGGGCUUUGAUAAUUUAACAAGAAAUAGGUCAAUUCAAGAUUUAAUUCACAUGUAUUUAACCAGGUGAGCACAUGUUGACAAUCGUCUUGUAUGUUUGGCAGGGAAGUCUUGUGAAAAGUGAAUGAUACAAAAA